UCUCACGCUCGUUUGGGCAAGGGACAAAUGGAAGACAGACUUCAAAACACACGAUGGACAUUUUAACGGUCUGAUAUGCUAUUUGAGCUAACUAACGGUCCCCUGACCUUGCAACACUUCAUCAGUGAUGUAUUUGGGGACAGUGUCAUCUAUUCGGGUGACAUACAUCUCUUUCUGGAGAACCCAGAGCAGCACACGCAGCACAUCCGAACCUGGAGAGUUUUCGGCAGCGUGGUCUCAACACAGAACUGGAAAAGCGGAACCUCCAGCCAACUCCCCACAGAGUUUUUGGGGUACAUCCUCUCCCCAGAAGAUGUUACGGUUGAUCCAAAUAAGGUGGAAGCCAUUCAUCAAUGGGGUGAAGUUUGAAGUCCUCAAGACGUGCAGCGCUUCCUAGACUUCACUCAUCCUGUGAAAUGGAGACGUGCUGGCUCUCAGGGAUGCUUAGACGGAAAACCACGCACCCCACACAGAGGUUGGAACCACUCACUCCCCGGUUGUCCUGAGGAGCCAUGAUUUCUCCAGGAGCUGGGUAAAGGGCACCGGGAUCAGUCUGUCAAAGGUAGGGGAGGAUCGGGUGAGGAGAGGGUCUGAGACGAGGAGUGUUGGCUAGGCUCUGUAUUUGGGCUUGGCAGGGAUCGCGAGAAGGGACAGGGCUGUUAGAGGGCAAUAUGAGGUGCGAGGGGGGUCGGAGAUGGGAGCAAGGCCUGAAAAGUUCAGCUACUUUAGAUCAACUGUGCCAGAGAAUCACUGGUUGAAGUGACUGAAAGCUCUGACCUGGGGCUGGCUAAAAUCCUCCUCCUCAGAUGGGAACAUCCCAAGAGUCUGCAGAAGCUCAGCCUCUGAGGUGAACGUUGUGGCCCUAACCUCUCUUUGCUCUGUACCUCACAGGAUUCCAGCCGGCUGUUCCAAUCCAGGAGGAAAACUGUGCCACUGAAGUCUCCCAGCACCUGUGCAGUGAAGUGCCACUUAACCCUGCUGUGAUGCACAGACCUUGCCUUGGCUGUCUGCACAGGGCUGGAUUUCACCCCUUCGGAGUGUAAGGAAAUAAUUGGCUGAAGGCCUUUUUCUUUUUGGACGUCUGUCUAGUGGGAAAGAACCAUGGGGAUUUGUAACCUGUUUCGCUCCCAUGCCUGGUGCUUCAAUGAUGCAGAGAUGUGCUGAUGCAUUGGCUGAUUUCCUCACCUUUUAAUCUACUCUCUUCUUCUCUUUUAACAGGUAUUCUAAGGCCCCCUCGUGCUUCAUAUGGGCAUUCUUGGGGGUGCAGAUUGCAUCAGACCUGCACCUGAAUAAAUAAUAGGGAAUGAAAGUUCUGCUGCCAAAUUCUCAGAAACCUUCCUCUGCAAUGUAGGAUUGGGAUUUUGUUUUGAAUUGAUUUUUUUUAAAAAAGUGCUGAGCAGAUGCUACCCUGUAAGAAGAGGAAACAGAAGCAAAAACUGACAGACUGUUACUGAAACCAAUGAACAGCUGCAGAGAGUGGAGACCCUUCAAAGCAAACAAAUGAAUACUGAAAAGGAUCCCCAAAGGAGGUGUAAGGAUCCAGGACUCUAAUGUCUGCCAGAAGCUUCAGCCACCUUCACAGGUUAGAGCUCGCCCGUCCAUUGCGGAGGUGAAGACCGGAUGGGAGCUUCUGGAUUGACGUUGAUGUGCCAUGUCCUUGUGUGGAUGAAGGACCUACAUCUCAGGGAUGGCCAGCAGCAGAUGUAACACGUGUGUCCAGGAAUGGGCUAAAUAACCUACAUUGAGAGAUCUCAGCUGCUCAGCAGAAUGCGAGAGAGCCGAGUGCUGAUGGGCUAGAAGGGUCCCAGGAGUCGCUGUGCAACAGGGGCAGGGUCUGCAGUCACCAUGGGCCACAUCCUGCGCUCCAGACAACCCAGGCUGUUUCCCUGG